GCUCGAUGGUUCCUAAAGCCAAGAUUGGAACUUGACUUCCAUCUCUCAUAUUUAGAAAUCUCUCAUUGUUCUCAAACUUUCUACUAACUUGAAGUCCUUGCAAUGAAUUGCAUAUGUGAACUGGACUUUCAGUAUCCAAUAUCUAGGUAGUAGUAUCACAUAUAGAGAAAUUAUGAGGUGUUAUCAUAUAAGCACUUUGACCAACAACUAAUUAUUCAUUUCUCUUUAGCCUAUUUAGGUCAUAGUCUGCUUGACUCGUUUCAACUCUAAAUUUUUUAGCUAGAUUGGGCUCA
rnacentral:lncRNA from 1 species